ensembl:lncRNA
UUCUUGAUUUUUUUUUAAAUCUUUUUUUUCACCAACCACUAACCCACUGGUUCCCAAUGGGGAUCACUCCUUUUGUUUUCCUGGCAACUUUGUAAAAAGCAAGAUAUGUGGCAUACGCAGGUUUUCUUCCCUCUUCAUCACAUAUCAUGAUAUUUGUAAUGAAUCAUUCCUUUGAAUAGUUCUUGAAUAUGUUUUUGAAUAUUUUUCGAAUAUAUUUUAAUAUUUCUUUUAAUAUUUCUUGAAUAUUUCUUGAAUAUUUCUUGAUUUUUUUUUAAAUCUUUUUUUUCACCAACCACUAACCCACUGGUUCCCAAUGGGGAUCACUCCUUUUGUUUUCCUGGAAACUUUGUAAAAAGCAAGAUAUGUGGCAUACGCAGGUUGUCUUCCCUCUUUAUCACGUAUCAUAAUCUUUGUAAUGAAACUUUCCUUUGGAUAGUUCUUUAACAUGUUUUUGAGUAUUUUUCGAAUACUUCUUUGCAUAUUUCUUGAAUAUUUCUUGAAUAUUUCUUGAUUUUUUUUUAAAUCUUUUUUUUUCACCAACCACUAACCCACUGGUUCCCAAUGGGGAUCACUCCUUUUGUUUUCCUGGCAACUUUGUAAAAAGCAAGAUAUGUGGCAUACGCAGGUUUUAUUCCCUCUUUAUCACAUAUCAUAAUCUUUGUAAUGAAUCAUUCCUUUGAAUAGUUCUUGAAUAUGUUUUUGAAUAUUUUUCGAAUAUAAUCUCAAAUUAACCAUAUUUAGUCUUGUGAAAGACAAAGUUGGCUCAUGUAUGACAUUUUGAGAAGCUUAAACUUAUGGUGGUAUGGAGUAGUACAUCUUAAUGUCCUGGUUAUCACCAAGUCACACUUUCGGGAUCUGUAUUCUCUGCCUGAAGUGGAAUUAUCAUUUAUCUAUUGAUAGUUUCAUUUUAAACCUAAUCUGAAAUCGAUUAGAACUUGACUAGUGAAAGAUUUUGAAGGAAGUUGGCUCUUCUAUUUUGAGAGGCUUUAAUUAACUCUGAGCGACAGCUGGAGGUGGUAUACUAUCAACCGAAGUGAAAUUAUUAUGUAACUAUUGAUUGAUACCCUUCUCCUUGCAGAUUAAUCAGAUCCCUGUCAAAUGUUUUUAGAAAAGACCUGAGACCUUAACAUUGUAAAAUAUGUAGUUUGCAAAACAUCAUCACGGUUAACGACGACUUACUCUCGGACGCUUUGUUCCGGCGGCCGUUGGAGUUCUUGGCUGCUUUUGUAGCCGUCCGGCCGGUGCCCGGCGGGCGGACUAGCGAGGACCAACGCUGCUCACAGCUUUAAUUUUUUUUGCAUCCUGAAACUGUAACAAUCCAGAUUUAAUUGCAUCAAACCCUGAUGUCACAACCAGCUGGUUUGUUUCUUCAGUGAUUUUUUUCAGUGCUGAUUUUCUUCCUGAGAAGUGGACUACCGAAUCGUCCAGUUUCCCUGAUGUGAAUCUGUUUAAAAACAUAACACUGCCUUUUUGUUUCAGGACUUUUGGAAGGCCAUCGGCAAAGCACCUUUCAAGUGUGUUCAACAUCCCCCCACAUUUCCGUGAGAGCUUUCAAAUGAGGCGGAGUGAGAGGCUGCUAUCAUGACAAGCCUUGCAAGUGCUUCACAACCCGAUACCCACAAGGCUUUGUUUCGGAGGUUAUCUUCGCUCUCCACUCGGUUCACUCGAGCAGCCGAUCCGCCAGCGACAGAAAGGGAGCAGCGGUGUGACAGCCGCAGCACGAUUAGACGCCACGUUGGUGGAAUGGGGCCAGCCUUCAUGGUUGUUUACACAGCGUUGGCCCAUCAUUAGGCUUGGCCACACUGCCUACUGCUUUCGUAAUAAUUCAAUGAAAAUACAGUAAAGCGUGGCCCCCCCAGCCAGAAUUGUGAAGUAAGACUCAAUUAACCCCAAUGACCCCGUCCAAAACAAACAAAUAAGAAAUUAAUUAUUUGCAGCAACCGACACACAGACGGGCUUAGUGGCUCCAAAACGACAAUAUAAAUGGUUGAGAAUGCGUUUUCACCUUGUUUUCCUCCGCGUCGGCCAAAUUAAUGGACUAUUAAAAAAUCUGCAGCAACAUAAAAUGGAUCUGAUGAAAGCGCAGCCAGCUCUGAGGAUCAGCAUUUUUUCUUUUUGCAUAUCAUUAUCCUGACGCCAGCUUGUCAAUUCACAAUUUUGAAACAAGAGCGAACACAACAGAUUUUCGUUUGUGUGGUGAUGUGCUGCAUUCGAUAUCAACUGACGUCUCAAUGUGUGCGUGUGCUUGCGUGCUUGUGUGAGUGUAAACAGUUCCCCCUCCGACACACAGACACACAUGCAAACGUUCAGACAACCUGCGAGAGAAAGUGUCCCACUAAUUUGAAACGCACUCGCAUUUGUGCACAAUACAGUGAUCCGCAGACUUUCAUGUUAUCACAUUGGCAGUUAUGAGUAAUUGCAGCCUGCAGCAGUCCCUUCCCCUGGACAACUUUUAAUUAUGUUACAAAGUGCACACGCUCUCCUGCAUUAAUGUCUCUGCUGGAGUCCUGAAAGAUUACAUCCACUCGCGGGGAGUACAAGGAAUAGCUUCCCCAAAUCAUGAAAACAUGUUGAUUAUAGUGAGAUAAACUCACACCGUGGUAUUUGUUGAUGUCAAUGAGGGAUCGCCCUUUGUGUUGUGCAUGAUAAGGAAUUUAAAAAUAACGUGUGGCAGAGCCGUGUGGUGCUGACAGAAGCUGAGAGGCGGCAGGGGAGCUGGAGGUAAGAACAAGAACAAGAAAAGGAAUAGCAGAGAUGUGAGUGCUGACAACAUGAAUGAAUGAACCCACUGUAACGUAUUCCUCGGGCACCGUGGAUCAUUUAUGUCUUGUAGGUCCCGCAACUGAAACAGCUCUCUCUGUGGAGACCAGUGUGUGUGUGUGUUUGUGUGUGUGCUGUCCAUCAUCCCAGCAGCAGAUGAGUGUGAAGUGAAGCCCAUACCAACCAGCAGCAUGUCACUCACAGUUAAACGUCAGACUAGUCCUCCUCGUCACACUUGAGUUAAGGAACACAUCGAGGCCUGAUUGCUUCACGACCAGUUUGGACCGACAUAUAAACAUAUGAAACACAAAUCAAUGUUUUUUUUAACUGCAAAAGAGCAACGAGACGGAAACAUCUAAUAUGUCUUCUCUCCAAUAAGAGCGCAGUUAACUUAAUAAUACUGUAUGUACUGCAGGUAAUGUCUUACUUAACACAUUUCCUAUUUGUACACUUUCUUCCCUAUGGAAUUUCCUAGAAUCCUAAAUUACGUGAGAUAUACUUUCAGAAGAUAUCUUUGGGAUACGUCUGAUUAAAUUAACAUGGUGAUGAUGAAACCAUUGAUUUUGACAUUAAGUUUGGAAGUAUAUAUAUAUAUAUAUAUAUAUAUAUAUAUAUAUAUAUAUUUUGUGAAAAAAAAAAAUCCUGAAAGAUUAUCUACAUAUUACAUGUUGAUGCUGACAAGGUUUGUUAUUGUUUAGGUUUGAAUUACCUGUUUAAUGCCUGACUGAUUAUGACUGCAAUAAGCACAAAGGGAAAAAUGACCUCUUUGCUUAAAAAAAACUGACAAGAGACAGGCGCCUUUUGCAAAACGUGUUCUUUCAAUCAAUGUCCACUGCACCGUGCCGGCUUAAUCACAGAUCUUGUACAUGGAUAAUUGCUACAAGUGAACCUGGCUUGGCUGACAUUUGCAUAUAUUGAGUUACAGGAGUCAGUCUCACUCCUGCUCCGCUGGAUCAUCGCUUGUGAUGUUAUCUGUGAGGAACCGGAAACAUCAAAAGCACUUCACCUGUCAGUGCUGUUUAAUAAAGGGCUGGAAUACAAUUACAACCAUUAAACUUAAAUCACAUGUGUAUAAUUAACAAAUGAACCGUAGUAUCAAUGUGUCCCGUUGGCCUUGGAGUACACAUUUAUAGCUCUAGCCUCGGCCAUACAUUACUGACCUGUGGUCAUCCUUAGGGACCCCCACCUGGCAAGGGCCGAAAGAUAAAUCAAAGGGGUCACGAGCAGAAAGCUACUGUAUUCCACGGUUACUGAGUCAGUGGAUUCAUGUCAAUGCAAGAAGCCAAAUGAAGUCCAUGUUUUUCAAUCACAUUGGAAUGGUCUUUUGGGGAGGGUGGAUGACUAAUACAGAUCUUACACAUGCAAUGGAAGGUCUGAACAGGAGAAAAAAAAACAGUAGAUGGGAGCUCUUAAUUUGACUAAUUUAAUUUAGCUUUUUAAUGUCUCUUCUCAGUUUCUUCCAUGAACACUUUAUAAAGCUCCCUACAUUAGAAAGAGAGUUAAGAACACUUGUAUAUAUUUCAAAUUUGCAAGAUGAUUUAAUAAAUAAAAAUCACACUAAACCGACAGCAUCCAUACAAAAAUUGCAAAGAACGAUAGCAAGACAGUCCUGAGAAAUCUUCUUGAAAUGUGAUAUCCCGUUUUAUGUAUAUUAAUUAGGGCUGUCAAUAGAUUGAAAAAAAGUAAUUGAUUGAACAUUUUAUUAUACAUUAAUUGUGAUUAAUCACAAUAAACCUUUAACACUUAAAAGAGUGUCAUUUUUUUUUUACACAGUGGUGUUGAGAUGGAAUUAGCCUAGCAGCUAUCUUAGCCUAGCAGUGCGUAAAGUGGUCUGUUUGCCGCUCUCCUCCCUUCUGUUUGACACGUGGAGGAAUUCCUCUGCACAGUUCUUCGCUGUAUGUCGCGCCUCUAUUUGUCGCUCUCUUGUCUAACCGACGGCAGCUAGCGACGGUUUCGUUUCCGGGAUCAACUUUGUUUACUUCCGUCACACCUGAAGAGCGGAAGUAAACAAAGUUGCAUUAACUGCGUUAAAAUAGUUUAUCGCAUUAAUCUCUGCCACAUCAAUCGCAUAGAUUUAACACGCUAAUCAGCCCUGACAUUAAUUAUUCAAAUCAAUAGUGAUAACAAAAAUAUCUAUUUUAUGCAUUUUUAAUUUAGCCCAAGAAGUGAUUUGAUAUUGCCAAUACAGUCAUGUAUUCCCAUCUUUACACAAGCGCUGUAGUAUAACUUGUCUUUGAAAGGUUUGAUUAUGUUUGGAAGUGGAGUUUGAAUUAAAUUUUGUUCAUGCUAGAGCAGCUGUUUGAAUCUGGUCCAACCGCCCGCGCCGCAACAGAUCAAUAUGCCUACUGACAAAUUACUACAAGACACUUUUCAAAAUAUUAUUGGAAACCAUCUGGAAAGCCGAUGCUGUUCCCACUAAUUAAAACAAUAGAUAUUGCAGGAGACAGGGAUGACAAAAGGAGAGGUGUAACAUGACAGAAAAUCUUCAAAGCACCCUUAGCAAGACACGUGAUUUUACAAAACAUUGUUUCUGUAUAAGAUGAUCCUAUUAAUCAUUAGGAUAUAUCAUUAUUUCCACAAAGGUUGCUUCCAAUGACGCUCUUUCAGCUGUCGCUGCUCAUCUCUUAGAUAAGCUUUAUAUAGUCCGCUCUGUUAUUUCACGAAUCUCAUAGUCAUCAUACAUCAGAAAAAGGCUCACGAGAAUGAACCCACAUUGUUCCUGAUACUUGAACAGUCAAUAAGAGGGUGGUGACCUGACAUUAAUGUUGAUUUUAUGUAAGUUAUGUAGGUCUAUUUAAGCAUAAUGUUGCUCUCCUGGCUCCAAUCUUGUGAGAAAUAUCCAUUAUCCUUUGAAAUGACAUAAUAUCUGGUACAUUGAGAAUAACUUUGUAUUUUAUAGUGUAUUUUUACCGCCUUGUCUACCGGCAGAGCUUCAGUUUAAAGUCCGUUUUGUCUGGCUCGACCAGGGAGAAGCCUUUGAGAUUGGAGCUUCAACUCAAAGACCACACAUUAAAGUAUUUUACCACUGGGAGUUUGCAAAGGCCUUAUUAGCCCCUGUGUCAGUGAUCGCAGACCAGUACAAAGCCCCCCCCCUUCCCUCCCCUGGCUGCCAGUUUACUGUAGCUCUGUUUUCUGGGGUCUGGAGCGACUGCGCCUGUUUCCUGGCUACUGCUUAGUUCUCUCCACGGAACCGCCGUUGAGGAGAGGCUACAGCAAGCAUCCACGCACUGUGAAGGGAAAGGAUUCCAAUUCAUCCGCCAUCGAGUGGUUAAUGACAAUACAAUGUGCCGCAAUUAUGGGGAUUAGAGGCAGGGAUUUGUGUACAGUCAAUGGGAUUUCCAGCAACACCUCAGUGCUACCUCAGUAAAUUGAAGGACUUUGGGUGAGGACGGGUGGGUUUCAUGUUUUGGGAACUCUUUAUGAAACUAAACCUUAUUCACAAGACUCAUUUUAGCCGUGAGAGUAUGUGUGGCUUUCUUGAUCUUUCAGUAUUUUUAUAAUAAAAAGUAACAUCCUGCACGUUGUGUUUCAUCGUCUUAAGAUGUUUACGUGGGAUUUUCAGAUCCCUGAACUCACUCUCUGAGAAAGCUAAAUUCAUCUUCAUCUUAUUUCUACGACCCAAAGCUUCUGUCCACAGAUGAGAGUCGGUGCAUCCUCAUUGUCAGAAUUACAAUCAGCUUCGUUUGACAAGUAAACAGAACAUUUGUCUCUGUGUUGUUUUAAAUGAGCUCAAUGUGCUGAAACAGAAAUACACAAGAACCAUUAUGCACACAAGUAUUGUCUAUA